rnacentral:lncRNA from 1 species
GGCCAUUGCUCAGGUCUGUCCCCAGCCCAGGCAGGAUCCAUGACUAGCUCUAAAAGAUACCUGGGACAGGAAAUACAAGCUGCGGGAGGCACUGCACCAAAAAAAUCUCACCAAGUAAAUUUCAUCAGAGCCUCUGCCUUCCACAAUGUGCCCAGAUGGAGACUCCCAUUCAAAUGGGACAGUCUGAUGACCCGGUGGGAUGGUACCCCAGUAGGAUGAGACCCGGAACAAACGCGAAGCAUCCUAUCUAGGGCAGGUGAAGCCUGAGUUGAUAACAAAGCCUGGAGCGACCUGGGACCGACCUGGGACCCAGCCCUCGGGGGCUCUCUGAGGAGAGGAAGGAAGGCGG